UACGAACUGUGCAAACGUUAUUCGGAUUCACUGGGCUUAAAGGGUGCGUAGGCGGCCAUGUAAGUAGGGUGUGAAAUCCCCCGGCUUAACCGGGGAACUGCGCCCUAAACUGUGUGGCUUGAGUGAGAUAGGGGUGUGUGGAACUUCCGGUGGAGCGGUGAAAUGUGUUGAUAUCGGAAGGAACGCCGGUGGCGAAGGCGGUCUGCUGGGCAGUUGCUGACACUGAGGCGCGACAGCGUGGGGAGCAAACAGG
rnacentral:rRNA from 1 species